rnacentral:misc_RNA from 1 species
GAAACAAGCUUGAAAAAGAAUUGACAAACGACUCUUCAGAAAGUAAACUGUAAUAGCCGUGCAUCGCAUCUUGGUUGCCGGUAGUUUAUGCCUGGUCCCGCGCAAUGAGCGCCUGCGAACCGUGUCAGGUUGGGAACAAAGCAGCACUAAGCGGGAUUGUUCAUGUGCCGUGGGGGUGCCUGACAUAACUAUCGGUAAUCAGGAUGGGGUGCACGUUUUGUUUA